ACUGAUGACGUCACCCACGUGGUGUCACUAGGCGAUGGCCGUAUAUUUGAAUAGUAAGCGAUGACUUGCGGGAGAAGAGAGACUUAAAAGCCGAGAUAAUAUCAAGCACGGUACUUGUUCCCGAACAAUUUUGUAGGCGUUUAGUAAAUAGCAUACCGAAAGAAUUUUCGUCUGUUAGCAGGAGCUUUGAAGCAAAGAGAUGCAGGUACUCAAAUUCGGCAGGAACAGAGAUAACAGAACUAGAUAGGCGCUAGGUCUGUUGAAGAAAGAUGAUGAUGAAUGAAAAUAAAAAAAUCUAGGUUUUGGCUAUUCGCCGGUUUUCGUCUUUGGGAACUCUGGAUAGCUGAAAAGCGGCACAUACACUGGAGAUGGAGCAACUAUACCAGGAAAAACUAACUGUUGGUUCUUGGAUAGUUAGUUUCAUAUGGAUGGACUGCUCCUGCUUUCUGUCUGAUUUGGGUACGACGCCCCUAAGCUCUUUAUCACAUAUCAUUGAAUCAAAAGGACCUGUUCAUUAUUAAGUUCUCUGCAAUUAAUAAAAAUUAUGUGGAAAAUUUUACAAAUGGAGUUUAUCAUUGAGCUUCUACUAUUGAAAAAAUUGUAUUUGAUAUGGUUAUAUUUGA